rnacentral:misc_RNA from 1 species
UUUUUUUUUUUUUUUUUGUUUUUGCCCCCUUUCUUUUUGGGUAACUUUGAUUCGGAUAAGCAAAGUUAGGAAGCAUAUCUUUCUCAUUGAUCAAUCUCUUUUGGCAUGUACCUUGAGGACUGUGAAAUGGUCAUGAUCUAAGAAAGCUUUCAGGGAUAAAACAGUUUGAAAGGAACAUGAAAUAAGCUUUUGAGCCAUUUGAUAAAUUUUAUUUUCGUCUCAAAUAAUUUCAGCUAUAUGGUAUGUGCUAGUAGAUUAUUAACAAGGAAACUAACAAAAAUAAAAUUCCACCUCAUUUUGCAGUAGCCAUGUCAAGGAGGCAUCUAAACCAUCUGUUCUUAAUAUCCCAUUUUCUAAAAUUUAAAAGAAAGAAAAAGAAAAGGAGAAAAGAAGCUGAAAAUCUGCAGAUAAUGUGUACACCUUAUAUUCUUGACGUGAUAAGGCUAUGGAUGGUUGAGACUUGAGAGAGAGAUUGUCACAGCUAAAGAACUAAACACUAUUGUAUUCACCUAUAAACAACAGUUGACAAAGCAUCAAAACAGGGUGGUACCCCUGUUACUUAAAGUUUGAACUGAUCUUGUUUAUUCAGAACUUUCAAAAAGCAUAAGUUCUGCUCUCUGGUGAAUCUGCAAUUUUCAAGGUUUCUUCAAUGAGCUUCCUGGCCUUCCUGCUUCUUAUCUCAACUCGCAUACUCUCACUUUUUUCUAUCUUAUCGUACGGUUUCUUCAUCUUAAGAGACCUUAUCUUUGAUUUCAAGGUUACCACCAACCUCUCCAAUCCCAUCAUCACCAUGGUUUAAAAAAAAGAAAAAACCUGCUAAAAGAAUAUAAACAAGUCAGGAUUAGUAACUCAUAGGCAAAGCUAAAUCUUAGAGAAAAGGAGAGAGACAGAAACCUUAUUGGGAGAUUGAGCGUGAGAAAUGAUAAUGUUAUGCAAGAUGCAAGAAGAGAAGUUGAAGUUGGGAAUAAAACUGCAAGGACUUUUAUGGAGCUUCUCAGGACAGAGCUGCUAGAAAGAGAAGAGUUAGGAAAAGGUUUGAGAAGAAGAAAGCAAGUAAGAGAGAUGAUACCAAUGAAUUUAACGGUUGCAAGUCACAUAGAAAGCAUUAUGGCUGCGCAUCCUGAGUUGAUUCAGUUCAAUUUGCUGAAAGGAUAUUACUUAUUUGACAGACGAGAUUCGAGCCUUACUCUCUCAAUCCGUGUUAAAAAAUAAAAGGCAUCAAAGUUACAUUUGGUAAGGCAGACCUCAAGAAGUAAGCCCUUCUGAGACUCAUGUGGAGAACAUGUAUAAGUUAAUUCUAUUAUUUACAUAUACAUAUGGAUAUAGUACAUUCCCUUUUUUUUUAUUGCAUAAAUGCCCUCCAGAAAGAAUGUGUUUAUGUGGAUUUAUAUUUGUUUUAUUUGACGUCUCUAUGUAACAUUUUCUGUACAUAAAGUAUUGUUUCAUGAACUAUGAAG